rnacentral:rRNA from 1 species
CGGCUAACUACGUGCCAGCAGCCGCGGUAAUACGUAGGGUGCAAGCGUUAUCCGGAAUUAUUGGGCGUAAAGAGCUCGUAGGCGGUUUGUCACGUCUGCUGUGAAAACUGGAGGCUCAACCUCCAGCUGCAGUGGGUACGGGCAGACUAGAGUGCGGUAGGGGAGAUUGGAAUUCCUGGUGUAGCGGUGGAAUGCGCAGAUAUCAGGAGGAACACCGAUGGCGAAGGCAGAUCUCUGGGCCGUAACUGACGCUGAGGAGCGAAAGGGUGGGGAGCAAACAGGCUUAGAUACCCUGGUAGUCCACCCCGUAAACGUUGGGAACUAGUUGUGGGGUCCAUUCCACGGAUUCCGUGACGCAGCUAACGCAUUAAGUUCCCCGCCUGGGGAGUACGGCCGCAAGGCUAAAACUCAAAGGAAUUGACGGGGACCCGCACAAGCGGCGGAGCAUGCGGAUUAAUUCGAUGCAACGCGAAGAACCUUACCAAGGCUUGACAUAUACGAGAACGGGGCAGAAAUGGAGAACUCUUUGGACACUCGUAAACAGGUGGUGCAUGGUUGUCGUCAGCUCGUGUCGUGAGAUGUUGGGUUAAGUCCCGCAACGAGCGCAACCCUCGUUCUAUGUUGCCAGCACGUAAUGGUGGGAACUCAUGGGAUACUGCCGGGGUCAACUCGGAGGAAGGUGGGGAUGACGUCAAAUCAUCAUGCCCCUUAUGUCUUGGGCUUCACGCAUGCUACAAUGGCCGGUACAAAGGGCUGCAAUACCGUAAGGUGGAGCGAAUCCCAAAAAGCCGGUCCCAGUUCGGAUUGAGGUCUGCAACUCGACCUCAUGAAGUCGGAGUCGCUAGUAAUCGCAGAUCAGCAACGCUGCGGUGAAUACGUUCCCGGGUCUUGUACACACCGCCCGUCAAGUCAUGAAAGUCGGUAACACCUGAAGCCGGUGGCCCAACCCUUGUGGAGGG